rnacentral:rRNA from 1 species
GACGUAGGGCGCGAGCGUUGUCCGGAUUUAUUGGCGUAAAGAGCUCGUAGGCGGCUUGUCGCGUCGUUCGUGAAACCUGCAGCUCAACUGCAGGCUUGCGGUCGAUACGGCAGCUAGAGUCGGUGAGGGGAGACUGGAAUUCCUGGUGUAGCGGUGAAAUGACGCGAGAUAUCAGGAGGAACACCGGUGGCGAAGGCGGGUCUCUGGGCCGAUACUG